rnacentral:lncRNA from 1 species
CACUCAGCUUUCUGAAAUGGUGUCCCACCACAAGGACUGGAGAAGGGUAAACCUCAGGUUCUCCUCCUGCCUUUUGCUAAGUAUAUGUCUUGAUGACAAGCCUUCUGCUAAUGAGCUGUGUUUCUGGACCGAUCAUGGUAGAAGUCAAUUGAAGUGUCCCUCACUUGGGGUUUCUUAAGGACAUGCAAGGUCCUCAUGAUUGUCUCAAAACUAUAUAGAAUUGAGAAGCUGCACUGAUGAGGAAACUGAAACAGAAAAUCCAGAGUAAAUUCCACCAGGCCACACAGCAAGGUCUGAUAGAGCCAGGAGAGACUUUAUGAAAUCCAGACUCUCACACUAAUGCUCUAUCAGCUAGACCUCCAUGUGAGUCUCCCCAAUGUAGGUAGGAAGCACUUUCCCUAAAAUGCUCAUAAAGCAAAUCAGAGCAAUGCUUCAUUUCAUGUGAUUUCUAAUUUGAAAUGCAAACAAUUGCCAAUUUGUUUGACUUGUAUUUAUAAUUAUUUCCUUGUGAAUUACUCAUCACUAAAUGCUUUAUAAAUAUUUUCUCUUUUUUUUCUCAAUGUCUAUGGAAUGAUCACAGCAUAGAAAAUGUUGGCUUUCAAGGAUUUAUUAAUAUCUCCUUUUGAAAUAGCAUGUAUUUGUAAGACAGUAUAAAAUCACUUUAAAGAAACAAA